GACAGAGGGUGCAAACGUUGUUCGGAAUUACUGGGCGUAAAGCGCGUGUAGGCGGCUAAGUAAGUCGGGCGUGAAAUCCCACGGCUCAACCGUGGAAGUGCACUCGAAACUGCAUAGCUAGAGUCCUGGAGAGGAAGGUGGAAUGCUUGGUGUAGAGGUGAAAUUCGUAGAUAUCAAGCGGAACACCGGUGGCGAAGGCGGCCUUCUGGACAGUGACUGACGCUGAGACGCGAAAGCCAGGGGAGCAAACGGGG
rnacentral:rRNA from 1 species